rfam:Cucumis sativus cultivar 9930 chromosome 3, whole genome shotgun sequence.
UCAGUUUCUGAACAUUAAUUUUGUAUCUAAUUUUACAUUCAAUGAAGUUUGAUCCCAUUGGGAGGCCUGCAGUUACAUUCUCCUUGCUAUCCAGAGUUUCAUUUAACAUGAUCCAUUUGGACGUCAGAAAACUACAGUU